rnacentral:rRNA from 1 species
AGCGAACGCUGGCGGCAGGCCUAACACAUGCAAGUCGAACGAACCUUUCGGGGUUAGUGGCGGACGGGGGUGUAACACGUGGGAACGUGCCUUUAGGUUCGGAAUAACUCAGGGAAACUUGUGCUAAUACCGAAUGUGCCCUUCGGGGGAAAGAUUUAUCGCCUUUAGAGCGGCCCGCGUCUGAUUAGCUAGUUGGUUGAGGUAAUGGCUCACCAAGGCGACGAUCAGUAACUGGUCUGAGAGGAUGAUCAGCCACAUUGGGACUGAGACACGGCCCAAACUCCUACGGGAGGCAGCAGUGGGGAAUCUUGCGCAAUGGGCGAAAGCCUGACGCAGCCAUGCCGCGUGAAUGAUGAAGGUCUUAGGAUUGUAAAAUUCUUUCACCGGGGACGAUAAUGACGGUACCCGGAGAAGAAGCCCCGGCUAACUUCGUG